rnacentral:rRNA from 1 species
AGAAUACAGGCUUCACGGCCGCUAUUCUCACCCUUUGUAUACAAAAACUUGUUGCUUUGGUAGGCCUCCGGCGUACGCUGGGCUGCGCCUGCCAGAGGAUCUAAACCCUAGAAUCAUUGCUGUCUGAGUACUAUCUAAUAGUUAAAACUUUCAACAACGGAUCUCUUGGUUUUGGCAUCGAUGAAGAACGCAGCGAAAUGCGAUAAGUAAUGUGAAUUGCAGAAUUCAGUGAAUCAUCGAAUCUUUGAACGCAUAUUGCGCCUCCUGGUAUUCCGGGAGGCAUGCCUGUUUGAGCGUCAUUACAACCCUCACGCUUCGCGUGGUAUUGGGCUCGCCUGCUUAGGCCUGCCUCAAAAUCAGUGGCGGCGACAUCGAACCCCUAAGCGUAGUAAUACUCGCAGCUUCUGGGAGCCGGUGGUAGCUUGCUAUGAACCCCCAAUUUUAAAGGUUGACCUCAGAUCAGGUAGGGAUACCCGCUGAACUUAAGCAUAUCAAUAAGCGGAGGAAAAGAAACCAACAGGGAUUGCCUCAGUAACGGCGAGUGAAGCGGCAAUAGCUCAAAUUUGAAAGCUGGCGCAAGCCCGCGUUGUAAUUUGUAGAGGAUGCUUCGGGUGUGGCUCUAGUCUAAGUUCCUUGGAACAGGACGUCAUAGAGGGUGAGAAUCCCGUAUAUGGCUGGUGGCCUACGCCUAUGUGAAGCUCCUUCGACGAGUCGAGUUGUUUGGGAAUGCAGCUCAAAAUGGGUGGUGUACUCCAUCUAAAGCUAAAUAUUGGCCAAAGACCGAUAGCGCACAAGUAGAGUGAUCGAAAGAUGAAAAGCACUUUGGAAAGAGAGUUAAACAGUACGUGAAAUUGUUGAAAGGGAAGCGCUUGCAAUCAGACUUGCGCGGCGUUGAUCAGCUUAGGUUCUCCUUUGCGCACUCGGCGCCGUUCAGGCCAGCAUCAGUUCUGGCGGUUGGAUAAAGGCCCAGGGAACGUGAGUGGCUUCGGCCACUGUUAUAGCCCUGGGUGCAAUGCAGCCUGCUGGGACUGAGGACCGC